GACGAACGCUGGCGGCGUGCUUAACACAUGCAAGUCACGGGGGCCCGCAAGGGUAACCGGCGAACGGGUGCGUAACACGUGAGCAAGCUUCCGAUUGGUGGGGGAUAGCCGGCCCAACGGCCGCGUAAUACCGCAUACGUUCACUGGACGGCAUCGUCUGGUGAGGAAACCUCCGGGGCUAAUCGAGGCGCUCGCGGCCUAUCAGCUAGUUGGCGGGGUAAUGGCCCACCAAGGCUAUGACGGGUAGCUGGUCUGAGAGGAUGGCCAGCCACAUUGGGACUGCGACACGGCCCAGACUCCUACGGGAGGCAGCAGUGGGGAAUAUUGCGCAAUGGACGAAAGUCUGACGCAGCGACGCCGCGUGUAGGAUGACGCCUUUCGGGGUGUAAACUACUGUUGCCCGGGACGAAACUCCUUUUUCGAGAGGACUGACGGUACCGGGUGAGGAAGCACCGGCUAACUCUGUGCCAGCCGCCGCGGUAACAC
rnacentral:rRNA from 1 species